GAUGAACGCUGGCGGCGUGCCUAAUACAUGCAAGUCGAGCGAACGGACGAGAAGCUUGCUUCUCUGAUGUUAGCGGCGGACGGGUGAGUAACACGUGGAUAACCUACCUAUAAGACUGGGAUAACUUCGGGAAACCGGAGCUAAUACCGGAUAAUAUUUUGAACCGCAUGGUUCAAAAGUAAAAGACGGUCUUGCUGUCACUUAUAGAUGGAUCCGCGCUGCAUUAGCUAGUUGGUAAGGUAACGGCUUACCAAGGCAACGAUGCAUAGCCGACCUGAGAGGGUGAUCGGCCACACUGGAACUGAGACACGGUCCAGACUCCUACGGGAGGCAGCAGUAGGGAAUCUUCCGCAAUGGGCGGAAGCCUGACGGAGCAACGCCGCGUGAGUGAUGAAGGUCUUCGGAUCGUAAAACUCUGUUAUUAGGGAAGAACAUAUGUGUAAGUAACUGUGCACAUCUUGACGGUACCUAAUCAGAAAGCCACGGCUAACUACGUG
rnacentral:rRNA from 1 species